ensembl:lncRNA
CUAUGUCUCAAACUGUGCUCAGAUUUGCACUCAAAAGUCAAUAUGAACUCAUUUCUCAUCAUAUGAUCUGAGCUGCUCAGCAUUCAUUUUAUAGCUGUAGUCUCUUACUAGAUGAUGACUAGUGACUCAUUUGAGUCUGUUUGUAUUUCUCCACAUUUCAGGAGAAACAUCUGAGAUGUCACUGAAGGAUGCUGAACAUAAACUCAGGAGAAAAUAAACCAGUGUUGCAACAGGUCUGGUGUCUGGUUUGCGUGUCCAGAGGGUUUAAUCUUUAUCUGUAAGAUCUUUACUGGUUUUAUUGUCCAAAUGUAACUCUGAGUAUCAUAAGUGUCGUACAAUUCCAGCUGGGACCAAUUACAGCUGACGUGAUCCUGGAAAGACAACAAGAAGGAAUCUAAAAAAAUCAAUAUGACAAGACUUACACUCAUCCAAGAAAUGCUGGACUGCUCUGUUUGACCAUUAUUAAACAGUCCUCCAGCAGACAAGUUUAUUGAUUCGGCAUGACAUGAUAUUGUCAGUAGAAGUCUUUUUUUUUUUUUUUUUUAGUUCACAUGAUUUCAGUUCAUUUUCCUCUUGAGUUGUCCUUUACAGGAAUAGUUCCCUCAGAAGUGAAGAUGCUGUCAUCAUUUACUCGCUCUCAUGCCGCUCCAAAUCUAUCACUUAAACAUAAGAGAAGCAGAUGCUGGAUGAAGAUGUAAAGGGUGGUCAGAUGUUCUUCUCUUUGUAUCAUCUCAAAUCAUGCUGGAGAUCAUCAGGUUUUGAGGAAAAUAUCCCGCCAUCUUUCACUGAUAUUCCCACAGCGUCUGCUCAGGUAAGUGACAUCUCAUGACCUUUACAAUCUCAUAAUAUUUCUUUUCCCACUGUGCUCGAGCAGAAUAUCAUCCAUAUUUCAGUUUCUUCAGCUCUGUUUCUAAGCCUAGGGAGCCUAGACAGGAUUUGAAGGAAUUGCAGUGACAUGGAAAAUUACACAGCUAAACACCAAAAAAACUGUAUUUCAUCUCAAUGGUGUAUUUCACUCAGGGUGCUGCCUACCCAGGGAACAUUUUUUCAAUGUUAACUAAAGUUUUAUUAAAAGUUAACUAGGACAAAAUGUUCUUAAAGUAAUGUUUAUGGACCGUUCUUACAGUUUUAUUAAUAUUUGAUAUACGUUCUCAUAAUGUUGAGAGAAAACAUUCUUAGAAUAUUAAAAAUUUUAGAAUAACGUUAUAUUUUAGGUGAAAAUUAAGUUAGUAGAAUGCUGUAAGAAACGUUUUUGGAACCUUUAAAUGAUGUUAUAAUCACAACAAAAAAAUAGACAUUUUAACUUUCUGAGAAUAUAUAUAUAUAUAUAUAUAUAUAUAUAUAUAUAUAUAUAUAUAUAUAUAUAUAUAUAUAUAUAUGUGGGUGACGCAUUGCUGCCACAUACAAAUUAUUUUUUCCACUCACUUAUGUCGUAAUAACGAGAUGUUAUGUCGUUU